rfam:Schistosoma mattheei strain Denwood, Zambia genome assembly, scaffold: SMTD_scaffold0014780
GGCCUCGUGGUGUAGCGGUUAGCACUCUGGCCUUUGAAUCUAGUGACCCGAGUUCGAGUCUCGGCGAGGCCU